GACGAAGGAUGCAAGCGUUAUCCGGAUUCAUUGGGUUUAAAGGGUGCGUAGGUGGGCAGGUAAGUCAGUGGUGAAAUCUCCGGGCUUAACUCGGAAACUGCCAUUGAUACUAUCUGUCUUGAAUACCGUGGAGGUUAGCGGAAUAUGUCAUGUAGCGGUGAAAUGCUUAGAUAUGACAUAGAACACCAAUUGCGAAGGCAGCUGGCUACACGAAUAUUGACACUGAUGCACGAAAGCGUGGGGAUCAAACAGG
rnacentral:rRNA from 1 species